rnacentral:rRNA from 1 species
UCCGAAGGGUGCAAACGUUGCUCGGAAUUAUUGGGCGUAAAGCGCACGUAGGCGGCUUUGCAAGUCCGAUGUGAAAUCCCUCGGCUCAACCAAGGAAGUGCAUCGGAAACUGCAGAGCUUGAGUACGAAAGAGGAUCGCGGAAUUCCCGGUGUAGAGGUGAAAUUCGUAGAUAUCGGGAGGAACACCAGUGGCGAAGGCGGCGAUCGGGGUCGAUAUUGACGCUGAGGUGCGAAAGCGUGGGGAGCAAACAGG